ACAACGGCUCUUUUAAGAGCCACCCAAAUAUUCUUAAAAGCGCUGU
rfam:Picoides pubescens contig58279, whole genome shotgun sequence.